rnacentral:rRNA from 1 species
UUAAGUGACUAAGCGUACACGGUGGAUGCCUAGGCAGUCAGAGGCGAUGAAGGGCGUGUUAAUCUGCGAUAAGCGUCGGUAAGGUGAUAUAAACCGUUACAACCGGCGAUACCCGAAUGGGGAAACCCAGUGCAAUUCGUUGCACUAUCAUACGAUGAAUACAUAGUCGUAUGAGGCGAACCGGGGGAACUGAAACAUCUAAGUACCCCGAGGAAAAGAAAUCAACCGAGAUUCCCCCAGUAGCGGCGAGCGAACGGGGAGGAGCCCAGAACCUGAAUCAGUUCUUGUGUUAGUGGAAGCGUCUGGAAAGUCGCACAGCAAAGGGUGAUAGUCCCGUACACUAAAAUGCAUUAAUUGUGAGUUCGAUGAGUAGGGCGGGACACGUGACAUCCUGUCUGAAUAUGGGGGGACCAUCCUCCAAGGCUAAAUACUCCUGACUGACCGAUAGUGAACCAGUACCGUGAGGGAAAGGCGAAAAGAACCCCGGCGAGGGGAGUGAAAUAGAACCUGAAACCGUGUACGUACAAGCAGUGGGAGCCUACUUUGUUGGGUGACUGCGUACCUUUUGUAUAAUGGGUCAGCGACUUAUAUUUUGUAGCAAGGUUAACCGUAUAGGGGAGCCGUAGGGAAACCGAGUCUUAACUGGGCGAAUAGUUGCAAGGUAUAGACCCGAAACCCGGUGAUCUAGCCAUGGGCAGGUUGAAGGUUGGGUAACACUAACUGGAGGACCGAACCGACUAAUGUUGAAAAAUUAGCGGAUGACUUGUGGCUGGGGGUGAAAGGCCAAUCAAACCGGGAGAUAGCUGGUUCUCCCCGAAAGCUAUUUAGGUAGCGCCUCGUGAACUCAUCUUCGGGGGUAGAGCACUGUUUCGGCUAGGGGGCCAUCCCGGCUUACCAAACCGAUGCAAACUCCGAAUACCGAAGAAUGUUAUCACGGGAGACACACGGCGGGUGCUAACGUCCGUCGUGAAGAGGGAAACAACCCAGACCGCCAGCUAAGGUCCCAAAGUCAUGGUUAAGUGGGAAACGAUGUGGGAAGGCAUAGACAGCCAGGAUGUUGGCUUAGAAGCAGCCAUCAUUUAAAGAAAGCGUAAUAGCUCACUGGUCGAGUCGGCCUGCGCGGAAGAUGUAACGGGGCUAAACCAUGCACCGAAGCUGCGGCAGCGACGCUUAGGCGUUGUUGGGUAGGGGAGCGUUCUGUAAGCCGUUGAAGGUGGCCUGUGAGGGUUGCUGGAGGUAUCAGAAGUGCGAAUGCUGACAUAAGUAACGAUAAAGCGGGUGAAAAACCCGCUCGCCGGAAGACCAAGGGUUCCUGUCCAACGUUAAUCGGGGCAGGGUGAGUCGACCCCUAAGGCGAGGCCGAAAGGCGUAGUCGAUGGGAAACAGGUUAAUAUUCCUGUACUCGGUGUUACUGCGAAGGGGGGACGGAGAAGGCUAGGCUAGCCGGGCGACGGUUGUCCCGGUUUAAGCGUGUAGGGGGAGUGACUUGGUAAAUCCGGUUACUUAUUCAACCCUGAGGCGUGAUGACGAUGCACUACGGUGCAGAAGUAGUUGAUGCCAAGCUUCCAGGAAAAGCCUCUAAGCAUCAGGUAACAUCAAAUCGUACCCCAAACCGACACAGGUGGUCAGGUAGAGAAUACCAAGGCGCUUGAGAGAACUCGGGUGAAGGAACUAGGCAAAAUGGUGCCGUAACUUCGGGAGAAGGCACGCUGGCGCGUAGGUGAAGAGACUUGCUCUCGGAGCUGAAGCCAGUCGCAGAUACCAGCUGGCUGCAACUGUUUAAUAAAAACACAGCACUGUGCAAACACGAAAGUGGACGUAUACGGUGUGACGCCUGCCCGGUGCCGGAAGGUUAAUUGAUGGGGUCAGCCGCAAGGCGAAGCUCUUGAUCGAAGCCCCGGUAAACGGCGGCCGUAACUAUAACGGUCCUAAGGUAGCGAAAUUCCUUGUCGGGUAAGUUCCGACCUGCACGAAUGGCGUA